rnacentral:rRNA from 1 species
GCCUACGGCCCUACCAGUCUGAAAGUGCCUGAUCUCGUCAGAUAUCAAAAGUCAUGCAGACUUGGGCCUACUUAGUACUUGUAUGGGAGAACAACUAGGAACCUCAGGUGCCGUAAGCU